AGUGAACGCUGGCGGCAGGCCUAACACAUGCAAGUCGAACGGCAGCACAGAGGAGCUUGCUCCUUGGGUGGCGAGUGGCGGACGGGUGAGGAAUACAUCGGAAUCUGCCUUGUUGUGGGGGAUAACGUAGGGAAACUUACGCUAAUACCGCAUAAGACCUUAGGGUGAAAGCGGAGGACCUUCGGGCUUCGCGCGACAAGAUGAGCCGAUGUCGGAUUAGCUAGUUGGCGGGGAAUGGCCCACCAAGGCGACGAUCCGUAGCUGGUCUGAGAGGAUGAUCAGCCACACUGGAACUGAGACACGGUCCAGACUCCCACGGGAGGCAGCAGUGGGGAAUAAUUGGACAAUGGGCGCAAGCCUGA
rnacentral:rRNA from 1 species